rnacentral:rRNA from 1 species
GGUUAAGCGAUUAAGCGUAGACGGUGGAUGCCUUGGCAGUCAGAGGCGAUGAAGGACGUACUAACCUGCGAAAAGCGAUGGUGAGCUGGUAAGAAGCAUUUGAGCCAUCGAUGUCCGAAUGGGGAAACCCACCUGCAUAAGCAGGUAUCUUAGCGUGAAUACAUAGCGCUAAGAGGCGAACUCGGGGAACUGAAACAUCUAAGUACCCGAAGGAAAAGAAAUCAAUUGAGAUUCCGGCAGUAGCGGCGAGCGACCCCGGAGCAGCCCUUAAGCGGCUUAGGCGUUAGGUGAACAGGUUGGAAAACCUGGCAAUAAAGGGUGAUAGCCCCGUAACCGACGGCGCCUUAGGCGUGAAAACGAGUAAGACGGGACACGUGAUAUCUUGUCUGAACAUGGGGGGACCAUCCUCCAAGGCUAAAUACUCCUGACUGACCGAUAGUGAACCAGUACCGUGAGGGAAAGGCGAAAAGAACCCCUGUGAGGGGAGUGAAAUAGAACCUGAAACCGUCUACGUACAAGCAGUGGGAGCCCCAUCACUAAGACACUUCAUCUUAGUGAGACGCUAUCACUUUGUUGAUUGGGUUAACCACGCGCAGCGUGGGUCAACCACCCAAUCAAGCAGAGGUGACUUAGUGAUGGGGUGACCGCGUACCUUUUGUAUAAUGGGUCAGCGACUUAAUGUAAGUAGCCAGGUUAACCGCAUAGGGGAGCCGUAGGGAAACCGAGUCUUAACUGGGCGACAGUUGCUUGCAUUAGACCCGAAACCGAGUGAUCUAGCCAUGGGCAGGUUGAAGGUUGAGUAACAUCAACUGGAGGACCGAACUCACUAACGUUGAAAAGUUAGGAGAUGACCUGUGGCUAGGGGUGAAAGGCCAAUCAAACUCGGAGAUAGCUGGUUCUCCCCGAAAGCUAUUUAGGUAGCGCCUCGGACGAACACUACUGGGGGUAGAGCACUGUUAAGGCUAGGGGGUCAUCCCGACUUACCAACCCUUUGCAAACUCCGAAUACCGGUAAGUGCUAUCCGGGAGACACACGGCGGGUGCUAACGUCCGUCGUGGAGAGGGAAACAACCCAGACCGCCAGCUAAGGUCCCCAAGUUAUCGCUAAGUGGGAAACGAUGUGGGAAGGCUCAGACAGCCAGGAUGUUGGCUUAGAAGCAGCCAUCAUUUAAAGAAAGCGUAAUAGCUCACUGGUCGAGUCGGCCUGCGCGGAAGAUGUAACGGGGCUAAGCGAUACACCGAAGCUGCGGCAAUGUCCUUAUGGAUAUUGGGUAGGGGAGCGUUGUGUAAGCUGUUGAAGGUGUGCUGAGAGGCAUGCUGGAGGUAUCACAAGUGCGAAUGCUGACAUGAGUAACGAUAAAGGGGGUGAAAAACCUCCUCGCCGGAAGACCAAGGGUUCCUGUCCAACGUUAAUCGGGGCAGGGUAAGUCGGCCCCUAAGGCGAGGCCGAAAGGCGUAGUCGAUGGGAAACGGGUUAAUAUUCCCGUACUGCUGCUUACUGCGAUGGGGGGACGGAGAAGGCUAGGUGGGCCUGGCGAUGGUUGUCCAGGUUCAAGUGCGUAGGCUGAUUUCUUAGGCAAAUCCGGGAAAUCAAGGCCGAGACACGAUGUCGAGCCACCAAGGUGGUGAAGUCAUUGAUGCCAUGCUUCCGGGAAAAGCCUCUAAGCUUCAGGUAAGUAGGAACCGUACUCCAAACCGACACAGGUGGUCGGGUAGAGAAUACCAAGGCGCUUGAGAGAACUCGGGUGAAGGAACUAGGCAAAAUGGUACCGUAACUUCGGGAGAAGGUACGCUGCCCACGGUGAAGUCCCUUGCGGAUGGAGCUAUGGGCAGUCGCAGAUACCAGGUGGCUGCAACUGUUUAUUAAAAACACAGCACUGUGCAAAAUCGAAAGAUGACGUAUACGGUGUGACGCCUGCCCGGUGCCGGAAGGUUAAUUGAUGUGGUUAUCGCAAGAGAAGCCAUUGAUUGAAGCCCCGGUAAACGGCGGCCGUAACUAUAACGGUCCUAAGGUAGCGAAAUUCCUUGUCGGGUAAGUUCCGACCUGCACGAAUGGCGUAAUGAUGGCCACGCUGUCUCCACCCGAGACUCAGUGAAAUUGAAAUCGCAGUGAAGAUGCUGUGUACCCGCGGCUAGACGGAAAGACCCCGUGAACCUUUACUACAGCUUGGCACUGAACAUUGAGCCUACAUGUGUAGGAUAGGUGGGAGGCUUUGAAGCGGCGACGCCAGUUGCUGUGGAGCCAUCCUUGAAAUACCACCCUUGUAUGUUUGAUGUUCUAACUUAGCCCCGUUAUCCGGGGUGAGGACAGUGCCUGGUGGGUAGUUUGACUGGGGCGGUCUCCUCCCAAAGUGUAACGGAGGAGCACGAAGGUGGGCUAAUCACGGUCGGACAUCGUGAGGUUAGUGCAAUGGCAUAAGCCCGCUUAACUGCGAGAGUGACGGCUCGAGCAGGUACGAAAGUAGGUCAUAGUGAUCCGGUGGUUCUGAAUGGAAGGGCCAUCGCUCAACGGAUAAAAGGUACUCCGGGGAUAACAGGCUGAUACCGCCCAAGAGUUCAUAUCGACGGCGGUGUUUGGCACCUCGAUGUCGGCUCAUCACAUCCUGGGGCUGAAGUCGGUCCCAAGGGUAUGGCUGUUCGCCAUUUAAAGUGGUACGCGAGCUGGGUUUAGAACGUCGUGAGACAGUUCGGUCCCUAUCUGCCGUGGGCGUUGGAUGAUUGAGGGGAGCUGCUCCUAGUACGAGAGGACCGGAGUGGACGAACCGCUGGUGUUCGGGUUGUGUCGCCAGACGCAUUGCCCGGUAGCUAAGUUCGGCACAGAUAAGCGCUGAAAGCAUCUAAGCGCGAAGCUGGCCCCGAGAUGAGUCAUCCCUAGAGCUUCGAGCUCUCUAAAGGGUUGUUCUAGACGAGAACGUUGAUAGGCAGGGUGUGUAAGCGCUGUGAGGCGUUGAGCUAACCUGUACUAAUGGCCCGUGAGGCUUAACCAU